GUAAGGAAUAUUGGUCAAUGGACGAAAGUCUGAACCAGCCAUGCCGCGUGGAGGAUGAAGGUCCUCUGGAUUGUAAACUUCUUUUAUAUGGGACGAAAAUGGGGCUUUCUAGCUCAACUGACGGUACCAUAUGAAUAAGCACCGGCUAACUCCGUGCCAGCAGCCGCGGUAAUACGGAGGGUGCAAGCGUUAUCCGGAUUCACUGGGUUUAAAGGGUGCGUAGGUGGAUUGGUAAGUCAGAGGUGAAAUCUCCGGGCUCAACUCGGAAACUGCCUUUGAUACUAUCAAGCUUGAAUAUUGUGGAGGUUAGCGGAAUAUGUCAUGUAGCGGUGAAAUGCUUAGAUAUGACAUAGAACACCAAUUGCGAAGGCAGCUGGCUACACAUAUAUUGACACUGAGGCACGAAAGCGUGGGGAUCAAACAGGAUUAGAUACCCUAGUAGUCC
rnacentral:rRNA from 1 species